ensembl:lncRNA
AUGCAUGCAAACAUCUGCUACUGUGAGAGUCUCAUCUGCUCAUCCUCAUCCUCAUCUUUCCCAGAAGAAGGUCUGGGAUUCAGACUGGAUUGUUUGUGGCAGAAUGGACAGAGGAAAUGCAUGGUGUUACAGGAAGAAAAGUCCUUGAAGACUGGGACAACAAAUAGAAGCGACAUCCAUCAUCACAAAGGACUAGAGCUCUUAAGGAGAGGAAGAACACACUGGAGGGAAACAACGAGGGAACGAUUAAUUAAAUUAACUGUACAUGCCUCAAUUCAAACCCUGCGAGAAGACAGAAUUAGAGGGCAUAUUUUUUGUUAAACACCAGCCAUGCCAAGCCUCACAGUUUUAUUGCCAUUUCUCUGGAAAUCUCAAUGGACUUCACCUCUGAUGCAUGCCAAGAAUCCACCUCUUUCCUGUGGAGUUGAGUUUCCUGUAUUUAGACAGAGAAGAGAAGAACAUGUGCUUUAGAUGGGUCUGGAUGUGUAACGUACAGUACCUGUGGAAGGCCACUAACUAAUCAGGAACAAACCCUAACAUCUCAAGCCAGAUCGAAUUACCGCCUGAGAAUUUAUGGUGGCUAAAAGCUUCUCUUGACCCUCCCUCUGAGCUGGAUCCUGUGUAGGCGAGAUUGGGUUGCCAUUGAAAUUGUUUUAUCAGUUCCUCUGGAAGCCGGCCAGCAUGGGAGUAUAGCGUAAAUCUGCAGCGAUUCAAGCCUUUUCUCUGAAGUCCUCAGGAAUUUGUUUUGUCAGGCCUAGUUUAGGAGAGCGAGAUAAAUGAGUACCAUGAGCAGGCCCGCACCAUGAAAUCCCACUGUUGAGAGGAAGCGCAGGGAGAGAUACAUCUCCCUUAGAGGUAUGGGGGUCGACCGUCCAGCCAAGUGGGCACAGGUGACGGCCGAUGCAAUGCAAAAGAGAGAAAAGAGAUUAGGCGGCUGGUGGUGCUUUAUCCUAAAUCCCCCCUUCCAAAAUGGCAGUAAAUCAUGGUCAUGGUGAGCAGUGGUGUAUUGACCCUAAAUUCCAGCCGUGCCUGUCAGAAUCCCCCACCCUUUACCCAUUUACAUUUUUCGACUUCACCAGGACAGCGUUACAAGACAAAUAAGAGUCCGUGAUAAAAUUAAGAACCGAUCCUGAUGUGGUCUCACUCAUGCAGAACAUUUGUUGAAAUGGAGAUUUCUGUCCGCUGAUUUAUGCACAGCGAUGAAGGGAGGUUAUCCACGAUCAUAAAAGGGAGUGGAUUCUUCAGUAAUUACCAGAGCGUUUUAAUUCUAGAGGAUUUGAGGAAUGUUAUUUACAGAAUGAACUGUAGGAAGGAUGGCCUCAUUGGUUUAUAAAUGUUAGCCAAGGACACUGAUGUGCUCUCACACAAACAUACGGUUCAUACAUACGCUUCGGCUUGGAAUAGAGCCCAUUUCCAUUCCCAUGACUACAAACAUUUAUCAUAGUUGUGGUAAAAUUAUGUUUCACAGCACACUCUCAAGGCAUACAGCCCAGAUGUCUUUUAUUAUCAAAGAGCAUAACAUGACCCCCCCCCCCCCCCCCCCCCCCCCCCCCCCCCCCCCCCGGG